GACGUAGGGCGCGAGCGUUGUCCGGAUUUAUUGGGCGUAAAGAGCUCGUAGGCGGCUUGUCGCGUCGUCCGUGAAAACCUGCAGCUCAACUGCAGGCUUGCGGUCGAUACGGGCAGGCUAGAGUUCGGUAGGGGAGACUGGAAUUCCUGGUGUAGCGGUGAAAUGCGCAGAUAUCAGGAGGAACACCGGUGGCGAAGGCGGCAUCCUGGACCGACACUGACGCUGAGGAGCGAAAGCCAGGGGAGCAAACGGG
rnacentral:rRNA from 1 species